rnacentral:rRNA from 1 species
GACGAACGCUGGCGGCGUGCCUAAUACAUGCAAGUCGAGCGGACUGAAUGGGAGCUUGCUCUUGUUCGGUCAGCGGCGGACGGGUGAGUAACACGUGGGCAACCUGCCCGCAAGACCGGGAUAACUCCGGGAAACCGGAGCUAAUACCGGAUAACACCGAAGACCGCAUGGUCUUUGGUUGAAAGGCGGCGCAAGCUGCCACUUGCGGAUGGGCCCGCGGCGCAUUAGCUAGUUGGUGAGGUAACGGCUCACCAAGGCGACGAUGCGUAGCCGGCCUGGGAGGGUGACCGGCCACACUGGGACUGAGACACGGCCCAGACGCCUACGGGAGGCAGCAGGAGGGAAUCUUCCGCAAUGGGCGGAAGCCUGACGGAGCGACGCCGCGUGAGCGAAGAAGGCCUUCGGGUCGUAAAGCUCUGUUGUGAGGGACGAAGGAGCGCCGUUUGAAGAAGGCGGCGCGGUGACGGUACCUCACGAGGAAGCCCCGGCUAACUACGUG